rnacentral:lncRNA from 10 species
GGGUGGUUUAGUGGCAAAGUAAUGAUUUAGUGAUGACAAUGAUGUAAAACCAGGGGGAGGAAAGAGACAAGGAUAAUGCCCAGGUUUCUGGGAUAAGGCAGGGGGUAGGUGUUAGUGACAUUUAUGACUUAAUGGAACAAUGAAGAAGGAGAAGGAAGAGAAAUAUGAGAUUGUGAUGAAAGAGGGUGAGGCUGCUUUUGAGCUGUGUUCCAACUAAAGGACUUGAUUAGGAAGCAAACAGAAACAGGACUGCAGUGAGAAUUGUAAAGUGCAGCCAGAGAGUCACGCUUUUCUAGCUAAGUUCCUCUAAAAAGAUAAAGAAGGCAGAACUUCUGCAUAUGAACCCCCUGGGAAGUAAACAUAGGACAUCAUGGUAGACUGGUAAAUUGUCAUUCCUUAAAUCUGAUAUUUAAAAAAAUCUAUUAGCCAUUUAUUUAGUUGAGGCAGGGAGCACAAAUAAGAUAUUUUUAAUAUUCUGAAAUUUCAUGUUUUGCUUUAUUUAUUGUUUUUGAGAAAGGGCUCACUGCAGCCUCAACCUUCUGGGCUCAAAUGAUCAAUCCCCUCAAGUAGCUGGGACUGUAGGCGCAUGCCACCAUGUCCAGCUAAUUUUUUGUAUUUUCGGUAGAGACGGGGUUUCGCCAUGUUGCCCAGGCUGGUCUUGAACUCCUGAGCUCAAGCGAUCCACCUGCCUCAAUCUCCCAAGGUGCUAGGAUUACAAGCAUAAGCCAGUGUGCCUGGCCUCAUGUUUUACUCAAAUGCACCCAGACUUUACUUUUCUACAGUAACAAUGUAGAUGUGAUAAUAAAGCAUGCUUUUAAAAUUAGCAAGUGCUUUGAAUCAGCAUUAUGCUAAAAGUCUUAUUUUUAUAUCUCUUGUCACAAUAACCCUUAUAAGGUAGACAUUUUAAUGUCUGUUGUUUAAGGCACAGAGAGGUUAAGCUACUUCUACAAGGUUACACGACUAAUAAUUUAUAAGCUAGGAUUUGAGUCCAAGUUUAUCUGAAUAUAGAAAGUUUUUUGUUUGUUUGUUUUUUGAGAUGGAGUCUUGCUCUGUCGCCCAGGCUGGAGUGCAGUAGUGCAUUCUUGGCUCACUGCAACCUCCACCUUCUGGGUUCAAGCAAUUCUCCUGCUUCAGCCUACCGAGUAGCUAGGAUUACAAGCGCCUGCUACCACGCCUGGCUAAUUUUUGUAUUUUUAGUAUAGACUAAACAUGGUUUCACCAUGUUGGGCAGGCUGGUCUCGAACUCCUGACCUCAUGAUCUGCUUGCCUCAGCCUCCCAAAGUGCUGGGAUUACAGGCAUGGGCUACCGUGCCUGACCUUUUUUUUUUUUUUUUUUUUUUUGACAGGGUCUCACUCUGUUGCACAGGCUGGAAUGUAGUGGUAUGAUCAUGGCUCACUGCAGCCUUGACUCCCCUGGCUCAUGAUCCUCCCACCUCAGCUUUCUGAGGAGCUGGACUACAGGUGUGCACCACCGCACCCACCUAAUUUUUAAAAAAAGAUUUUUUUCUUGAGAGAUGGGGGCUUGCUUUGUUGCUCAGGUUGGUCUAGAACUCCUGGCCUCAAGCAAUUCUCAAGCCUCAGUCUCCCAAAGUUUGGGAUUACAGGCAUGAGCCACGGUAUUUGGCUUAGUCAGUUAUUUUUGAUGUGUGUACUAGCUAGCAAGUUAGGCUCAAUUUUGUUAAAUAAAAUGUAGGAACAUAGAUAACUAAUUUUCACAUUCUUCAAACUCUAUUUAUUCUAUCUUAAACACAAAACACCAUUAAAACCAAAUAACAUCAUUUGUAGUAUGGCAUUCUUAAAAACAAAGCAAAUUUUAAUGAUUUUUUAAAAUAGACUAAGCUAAUUACUAAACCAAAUAUUUCAUUACUUGUUAUAAGAAUUUAAAUAUUAUUACUUAUUGUAAAUGUUUAAACUUGAAAUCUUAUAUAAAAGAAACAUACCUCCAGAAUAAUACCCAAAGACAUGUUUUUAAAGCUUUUAUUUAAAAAAAGGGUAAAACAAGAGAUGACAUUUUAAAAAGACAAGACAGUAAUUAAAUCAUAGUACCGUGUCCCUUUUAAUUUGCCAUAAUAAUUCCUUUUCUUUGGAGUAUUCAUUUUUAUGCUCAUUUCUUUGCAAAGAAAAAUUACAAAAAAAAUGUUUUCCAGUAUAAAAAAUGAAUACGGGGCCAGGCGCGGUGGCUCACUCCUGUAAUCCCAGCACUUUCGGAGGCCGAGGUGGGUGGAUCACCUGAGGUCAGGAGUUUGAGAUCAGCCUGGCCAACAUGGUGAAAGCCUGUCUCUACUAAAAAUACAAAAAUUAGCCAGGCAUGGUAGCGGGCACCUGUAAAUCCCAGCUACUGGGGAGGCUGAGGCAGGAGAAUCACUUGAACCCAGGAGGUGGGGGUUGCAGUGAGCUGAGAUCGCGCUACUGCUCUCCAGCCUGGGCAACAAGAGCAAGACUCCAUCUCAAAAGAAAAAAAAAGGAUUUGGGGUCUCCUUGGGAGCUAUAAACAGUAGAUGCAUUUUUUCAGUGACAACAUGAACAUGUGAAACUGAUGAAGCAGAAAUUGUAUCUGAUUCUUACAUGUUCAUGCAUAUGGUGAUAGAAGCACAAACACUUUAUCUUGCAGACAAGAGAAUAUUGCCAGUUUUGACCUAUGAAGAACAAAAACUAGGACAAAGCUCUCUGUCAGAGAAAUCUCAUCAUUUUUCAAUACCACCAAUGCAAUUGUGAAAUGAUUUGACCUAAGGUUUAUCUAUAAUUCCUCAGUUCACAGGUACAACAAAUAUUGGCUCCUCCUUUUAAAGGCAGUGUGUGUGUAUGUAUGUGUGUGUGUGUUGUGUUGAUUGAUUUUUUUUUUUUUUUUGAAUUCUGGAAAACUCUUAACAUAAAGAUUUGGUCUAAGGGUCAGAACUUUGUUCUAGCCUGCAAGGGAUCCCUAAGUUCUGUCAUUCUACCACUAAAGCCAAGCUUCUUGGUUCUCCUCAGAAGCCUACAUCAUAGACAGAAACGGAAAGCCUAGUACUAAAGUUACAAAAUAAUGAUGUCACCUCUAGUGGUGAAAUAAGGAAACAAAAUAUAACAGCAAAAAUAAGAGUUUCCCGUCAUAAUGGUAGUUUCCUUAACAAAAAUAACCACAGGGCAACUGAUCAGAAGGAAAGUAUUACUCUAAAAUUUUAGAUUUAAAUUUGUUACUACUAUAAUAAUGCUGCAUACCAAAACUGAUUGACAUCUAAACAUUUCUGUGUAGUGCUGAGAUUUUCAUAUCUAUUUUUUUUUCAGGGUAAGACUGACUUUUUUUUGCUAAUAUUGCGCCCAUGAUAUCUUAUUGGAUUCUAAUAUAUAUAAGGAUAUCAUAUUUACAUCAACAAGAUAAUAUUUUUCUUUUUAUACUUCCAGAUCAUUGUCUCUAUAUAACAAAAAGUAUUUAAUAUUUUAAUUUUCAAAAAUGUCUCUGUAAAUAAGAUACAUC